rnacentral:rRNA from 1 species
AUUGAACGCUGGCGGCAUGCCUUACACAUGCAAGUCGAACGGCAGCGGGGGAGAAGCUUGCUUUUCCUGCCGGCGAGUGGCGAACGGGUGAGUAAUACAUCGGAACGUGCCCUGUAGUGGGGGAUAACUAGUCGAAAGAUUAGCUAAUACCGCAUACGACCUGAGGGUGAAAGUGGGGGACCGCAAGGCCUCAUGCUAUAGGAGCGGCCGAUGUCUGAUUAGCUAGUUGGUGGGGUGAAGGCCUACCAAGGCGACGAUCAGUAGCUGGUCUGAGAGGACGAUCAGCCACACUGGGACUGAGACACGGCCCAGACUCCUACGGGAGGCAGCAGUGGGGAAUUUUGGACAAUGGGCGAAAGCCCGAUUCAGCAAUGCCGCGUGUGUGAAGAAGGCCUUCGGGUUGUAAAGCACUUCUGUCCGGAAAGAAAUGGCUCUGGUUAAUACCUGGGGUCGAUGACGGUACCGGAAGAAUAAGGACCGGCUAACUACGUGCCAGCCGCCGCAGUAACAC